rnacentral:misc_RNA from 1 species
CUAUAUCCUUGCUUGCAGACUUGGCAAGUUCUUUUGCUUUAUCAUCAUCAAAACCAAGGGAUGCCAAUAUCUUGUGACCAGCUGAAUCUUCUUGCGCCCAUAUACCCAAAAGCAUAUAGGCCACUGUUAUCUCGCCAUCCUCACCUGAUUUCAGUUUUUCAUCAACAGCCCAAUCUAGCGCCUUCUGAGCUGGCUCAGUUAAUGGUGGAUGUUCAGGACUAAAGAAGUACAUGUCUGAUUUUCCAAGUAACUUGACAGUUUCCUCGCGUACUUUAAAAAGAGUAAUGCCAUUUGCACGAAGAAACUGUGCUGCUUGGCUUGUUCCCUCAACAAGGAUGCCCAUGAGCAGAGCCUCCGUCCCAGUAGUCGGAUACUUAAGCUUCCUCGCCUCCAGCUCGGCCAUGCCAAAGCUCUUUAUCGCCCUCGACGACCACUUCGUGUUGGUCCCACUAGAAGCCCUCUCCGGAUUCGCUGUGGGAAGCAUGGAGAGGACGGAUGCAGCAGCGGGAUGGGGGCGGCACGGGCGGUGGAGGAGUGGAG